CUUUACCCUAUAAAAGAAAACCAUUUUAUGCAUUUAAAUGACCUUACACGUUAUCAGUUUAUUAAGCGUUUAGACUAUGUAGACACACUCACUGUGCACUAAAAUUAAAAAAAUUGGUUAACACGACCACUCGUGGUGGCUUCACUCAGAGGUUGGAGAAGACAACAGGUGGACUAAACAUCAAGCCUCUGCACGAUUCAGGUAAGUGGAAUAAAAUACAUUGUAAAUAAACAUUAUUAAAACAGAUUGUGAAGUCAUUCAUUCAAAACUUGCUAUGACCUAAGCCUAAAUGACUUAAUUUCUUUUUAGAAUUAAGACAACCUUAGCAGGAGAGCCCCAGCAGUAACUUUCUCUCAAGCAGAUGAGCAAUAAGUUGCUUUGUAUGAACACCACCCUAACAAUCAAGUAGCCUGUUAACAGUAGACCAAAGGUAUGAUGAUCAAUUAUAAAUGCAAUAUGGUUGAAAGCUUGACAAAAAUGUAGCUUGAAGGAGAAAGUCCUGGUACGCAGACGAUGAUACUAUUACACUGACAAGAGUGUAAUGAUGAUGGAGACACAAGCCAGAGAAAGGGGGGACCAAACACCAGGCCAGAAUUCUGCAUGAGUCAGAUCCAGUGGGUGCAGAUCAUCAUACAGAUGGUUCAAGUGUGGAUCCACCUAAUAUUCAAGCUCCAGUGGGCAUCCUUUAUCCAUCCAGACCCUCAUACAGAUGGUUGGAGUUUUGAUUCACCUAAAGUACCAUGCAAGAGCACUCAUUUUCCCUCUUGAGACCAUGGUGUGACCUGCAAGGUCGAAUGGAGACUGUAAACGAGACAAUCUUGGAGUCACCUGCAUUCACUGGUCCAGUUGUUAGUCCAAUUACAGAUGGAGAUUAUAGAAGAGGAUGAUGUCUUUUCUCCAACAUCUUUCUAGACUGAUAAAAGAUCUAGACAGGCUCAAACAAAAGUUAACAGACAGAGGGGCUUAUAUAGAGAAUGGUGAGCAGCUACACAUAAAAGAAGAACAUGGAGAAUCUGCCCAGAGGUGUUAACCAGCAAUGCAGCUAUACAACUAAAUUGAUGCAGGCGGAAACAAUGUGUAAUGCAGCUGCUGAAGAAUCCGUCCGUCUAGCACUGAAGGAGACGCGGAAAAUCGGGAAAAGAUGUUCUUUGCCCGAGGAAGCAUUUGAUUAAUUUAAAGAUGUUGUGUUUCUUUGUAUGUUAUAGAAAAACGUUGC